rnacentral:rRNA from 1 species
CCUACGGGAGGCAGCAGUAGGGAAUCUUGCGCAAUGGGCGAAAGCCUGACGCAGCCAUGCCGCGUGAAUGAUGAAGGUCUUAGGAUUGUAAAAUUCUUUCACCGGGGAAGAUAAUGACGGUACCCGGAGAAGAAGCCCCGGCUAACUUCGUGCCGGCAGCCGCGGUAAUACGAAGGGGGCUAGCGUUGCUCGGAAUUACUGGGCGUAAAGGGCGCGUAGGCGGAUAGUUUAGUCAGAGGUGAAAGCCCAGGGCUCAACCUUGGAACUGCCUUUGAUACUGGCUAUCUUGAGUUCGGGAGAGGUGAGUGGAAUGCCGAGUGUAGAGGCGAAAUUCGUAGAUAUUCGGCGGAACACCAGUGGCGAAGGCGACUCACUGGCCCGAUACUGACGCUGAGGCGCGAAAGCGUGGGGAGCAAACAGGAUUAGAUACCCUGGUAGUCCACGCUGUAAACGAUGAGUGCUAGUUGUCGGCAUGCAUGCAUGUCGGUGACGCAGACUACGACAUAAGACGACGUCCGCCGUCGGGGAGGUACGGUCGGCGAAGAAGUUAAACGUAACGUUAAAGGAAAGUUAGUUACGGCGUGAGACGUUGCCGACGGACGACGACGAGGGGAGGAGG